GAAUGCGUUCCCGGGUCUUGUACACACCGCCCGUCACACCACGGGAGUUGGAGACGCCCGAAGCCGAUUAUCUAACCUUUUGGAAGAAGUCGUCGAAGGUGGAAUUAAUAACUGGGGUGAAGUCGUAACAAGGUAGCCGUAUCGGAAGGUGCGGCUGGAUCACCUCCUUUCUAAGGAGA
rnacentral:rRNA from 1 species